CCAAUAGCGUAUAUUAAAGUUGUUGCAGUUAAAAAGCUCGUAGUUGAAUUUCGGGAUCAAGGGAUCGGUCAUGCCUUGGUAUGUACUGGUCUUAUUGGUUCUCACCUUCUAAAGAACCAUGAUGUCAUUCAUUUGAUGUUAUGGGGAAUUAGGACUGUUACCUUGAAAAAAUUAGAGUGUUUAAAGCAAGCUUACGCUUGAAUACAUUAGCAUGGAAUAAUGAAAUAGGACAUCAGAUUCUAUUUUGUUGGUUUCUAGGAUCGAUGUAAUGAUUAAUAGGGAUAGUUGGGGGCAUUAGUAUUCAAUUGUCAGAGGUGAAAUUCUUGGAUUUAUUGAAGACUAACUACUGCGAAAGCAUUUGCCAAGGAUGUUUUCAUUAAUCAAGAACGAAAGUUAGGGGAUCGAAGACGAUCAGAUACCGUCGUAGUCUUAACCAUAAACUAUGCCGACUAGGGAUCGGAUGAUGUUAAUUUUUUAAUGACUCAUUCGGCACCUUAC
rnacentral:rRNA from 1 species